rnacentral:misc_RNA from 1 species
GAUGAAGAACGUAGCGAAAUGCGAUAAGUAAUGUGAAUUGCAGAAUUCAGUGAAUCAUCGAAUCUUUGAACGCACAUUGCGCCCGCCAGUAUUCUGGCGGGCAUGCCUGUUCGAGCGUCAUUUCAACCCUCAGGGCCCUUUUGGACCUGGCGUUGGGGCUCGGCCGCUACCCUGCGGCCGUCCCCGAAAGAUAGUGGCGGUCUCGCUGUAGCCUCCUCUUCGUAGUAGUUACAUCUCGCACUGGAACGCGGCGCGGCCAUGCCGUUAAACACCCCACUUCUCAAGGUUGACCUCGGAUCAGGUAGGAAUACCCGCUGAACUUAAGCAUAUCAAUAAGCGGAGGA